UUUUGAAGUUUUUAAUUGCUGCCUCCAUUUAUCCCAAAUUCAAUUUGAUUAUUCUUUUGGUUCUGCCUUGUUUAUAUCUCAAAAUAAUUUACUUAUUAAUAUUCCUACUCUGGUCCAAGCCAUGAUCACCUCUUCUUUGACAAUAUCCUAUCCUUCCUACAUUCACUUUUGCCCUCCAGUCUUCACACAGCAACUAAAAUAUUUUAAAAACUCAGAUCUCAUAAUGUAAGUCCUUCCUUAAAAAUCACAAAGGUUUUCUCCUGACUUAAAGUCCAGUUAUCACCAUUAUGGUUUAUAUAUGGUCCUAUGGAAUCUGACUCCUAUUUUAAUUGUCUAACUUACCCUGGCUUCCUUAUGCCAUAACCAUAAAAGUUUGUUUUCAUUGCUGUGAAGUUCCUAUGACUUUAUCAACUUACCACACUCUGCCUGAAACAUUUCUCUAGGGUUCACCUUACUGCUGCUCUCAUCUUUUAGGUUUCAGCUUCAACUCACUUUGUCAGAGAAAUCUUUCCUGGUCCUCCCAAAGUAGGUUAAGUCUUCUAGAUAUAUGCUCUCAUUGUACCUUGUAAUUUUUCUGUGGCUUUCAUCAUAGUCAUUUACUUGACAUUUAUCUUCCUUGUUAGAUAUAGACCUCAUAAGGAUUUUUGUCCUGUUCAGUGAUUAAUUCCCAGCACUCUGCUCCUUCCCUGGGGAUACUAGCAUUCAUUCAUUUACUGGAUGGUUGAAAGAAAGGGCAUAUUAAGAAUAUAAAACAUGAUAAAACAAAUGCUGUAGAGUGAGAACAGACCUUUUUAUUCAUAUACUGAGAUAAACUUCAGAGACUGAAAGAAAAAAAUCAAAUCACUCAGCAGAACAUUCAUUAAAAUUCAUUCUUGAACAGAGUUCUCACAAAAAAUUUAAGUCUGAUAUAACAUUAAAUAUUUUACAAAUCAGACAUUUCAUUUAAAUCUAAUCGUAUAAUCUUGAGUGCACUAUAGACAAAGAUUUCCUUGACCGGUUUCACUUCAUUUAACUAAUACAAGGCUUCCAUUAAAAUCCUACCACACCUUGAAAAUUACCUGCAGCUUUUAAAGACACAUGACUUAAACUUAAAUGGAAAGUCUUAUGUAGCAAUCCAGAAAAAAAAAAAAUAGGUAGGAAGCAUUUCUUAAUACAAAUAAAUUGUAAAAUAUCAUUUAUCUGUGAGUUUCUUCUCAUUGGCAUAGUUAUCCAACUAAAACAAUUCAUUUUGAAAUUGGUGCUUAAAAUACUCCAAUGUCACUGGGAGAUGCCUAUCACUUUAGAAGUGCUCUUAAAUGGCAACUCUCAGACGGGAAAGUCCCGGUUCCUGUGCUGCAGUGACGGAGACCCGUUCAUAUUCAUGCCAGGCAACAUCUGUUAGGCAGUUACUAGACAGCUUGGCAACCAGUAAUCCCAAUUUUCAAUAACAUACUAA